rnacentral:rRNA from 1 species
GAUGAACGCUGACAGAAUGCUUAACACAUGCAAGUCAACUGUGGCGGACGGGUGAGUAACGCGUAAAGAACUUGCCUCACAGAUAGGGACAACAUUUGGAAACGAAUGCUAAUACAGGAUACUGUGAGAGCGCUUUGCGUCCCAUUAGCUAGUUGGAGAGGUAACGGCUCACCAAGGCGAUGAUGGGGAGCCGGCCUGAGAGGGUGAUCGGCCACAAGGGGACGGAGACACGGCCCUUACUCCUACUGGAGGCAGUAGUGGGUGCUGUUGGACAAUGGACCAAAGGCUGAUCAAGCAAUUCUGUGUGCACGAUGAAUUUUUCGGAAUGUAAAGUGCUUUCAGUUGGGAAGCGGUACCAACAGAAGAAGUGACGGCUAAAUACGUGCCAGCAGCCGCGGUAAUAC